GGGCGCAUAGCUCAGCGGGAGAGCACUCGCCUUACAAGCGAGCGGUCGCAGGUUCAAAUCCUGCUGCGCCCA
rnacentral:tRNA from 1 species